GUUGUUCAGAACAUAGAAUGCAGUCUCAAGAGCAGAAUCACAAAAAGAGAUCUACAGACUCGCAAACCCCAUCAAGACUGAACCAUGUCUAACAGAGUUCGAUUCUUCUUUUCUAACACUCCAUUAUGUUGUGGUGUCUUCAAAGGGUUUCAUUAUGAGAGAAUCCCAUUCUCUCUUAGAUAUAUCAAAAAUUUAUUAAAAAAAUAUUUACCUCCUCGGUC
rnacentral:lncRNA from 1 species